rnacentral:lncRNA from 1 species
CUGUAGUUGAAUAUGUUUGGAACCUGCUUUGCAUCCCUCUUCUUAGAGACUCAAAUCACACAUUUGCAUGUUUUGUUUUGUUUUGUUUUUGAGAGCUUCAAGAAGUACUUCAGUUUUUAAAAAGCAGAUUUUAAAAACCUCUCUUUUAUUAAUUUCAUAUACCAUUUUUUGGUAACAUCUGUUGACAUCUUAGGGAAUUUAAUUUGGGAAAUAGCACUCUAGGCAAAGGAAAACCCAUUGCUUCUCGGCACCCUCUGCAAGUCUUGCAGCUCCUCAUCCAGUAGGGAGAAACAUGAAGAGGAAGACAAUAGAGUUUGGAUGAGCUGCUGCCCAGAGCCCUUUGUUUCUGUCCUCAGGUAAAAAU